rnacentral:lncRNA from 1 species
CUCCAUCCAGCACGGAUCCUUCCCGCUGUCCAGCACCAACUCGUGCAGCUCCACGUAGCCCUCAUAGGUGUCCCUGUGGGCCGUGGGCUGUCGGCUCCCCGCCGCCUCCAGGUCCACAUCGCUCACCAAUGGAUUGCUCAUCGUCCCCAGGGAUGUCCUGGAGCCCUUGGUGUCCUCGUAGCCCUCGGGGUCCAGGCUCCUGCGUAGCGCGUCCUCGGUGUCCUGGCCGGGCCCCUCCAUGGCUCCACUCACCCCCCCGCUGCGUGCCGGCGCUCAGCCUGGCGGCACCAUGCCCCGCUCUGGGGACGCCGCCGCCACCCCCGGCUCUGCGCAGCACCGGGACAGGAUCCC